UCAGUGAUGAAGAGGAACCCGGCGACUCGGGGACCAUUCCAGUUAGCCUGCGAGGGGCCGAGCGGCGUGCUCACGAGCCGCCUGAGAAGCGUGCCAUGGGUUUCUGGGUGCUGUACAUAAAUGGAAGAGACAGCCCCUGUGGGUUCUCGAGGUGUCCCCGUGGGUCCAGCCGACAGGUUUGAUGAUUUCUGCUGAGGUGCGGCGAGACCGGACGUGUAGUACGGACCCAUGGAGGCGGCAAGCGCGGAACCCUGACAAGGGGGUGAGCAAGGCUUGGUUGUCACAGCCUUAAAUCACCGGGUCCGUGUGAGAGAGCACUUGCU